rnacentral:rRNA from 1 species
GACAGAGGGGCAAGCGUUGCUCGGAAUUACUGGGCGUAAAGGGCGCGUAGGCGGGAUGGUAAGUCGGUCGUGGAAAUCCCUCGGCUCAACCGAGGAACGUCGAUCGAUACUACCGGUUCUUGAGGAUUGCAGAGGAGACUGGAAUUCCUGGAUGUAGCGGUGAAAUGCGCAGAUAGUCAGGAGGAACACCGGUGGCGAAGGCGGGUCUCUGGGGCCGAAUGACUGACGCUGAGGAGCGAAAGCCAUGGGUAGCGAACAGG